GUGCUUGCUUCAGCAGCACAUAUACCUAAAUUGGAACGAUACAGAGAAGAUUAGCAUGGCCCCUGCCCAAGGAUGGCAUGUAAACUCCUGAAGUAUUCCAUAUUUUU